rnacentral:lncRNA from 1 species
GCUUUGGCUUGCUCUUUGCUGUUCCUCCUGUUUAGAUCAGCAGACCCACUGGAGUCCAGCUUCACAAAGAAGACAGAAAAAGUGCUAUUCACUGCCAAAGUCCUACACUGUUGAGAGAUUGUGGCUUUUGAGCACAUUGCUGAUCCGACGUUGUCACAAUGGCCAAAAAUGUCAAAUUCAUACUCACAAUCUUGAAAUUGACAAAACAGAAGAGGUUGUUGAUGAGAUGGACUGGCUGGUUCAAGUCAGCUUUAUUAAGGUGUAACUCAAAGUAGACAAGCCAGGUGACCUCCACAUUGUCUUUUACUGGUAAUAGUCUACAUGCACUUCAAGGAUUGUAUGGCUAAAGCAUGCUGGAGAGAGAGAUCCAUCAUGCCACAAUGUGAUCCACAUAUUCUGCAGUAAGUUAGUAUGAGUUACAUCAAGCAAAGAGAAGCUUACGCUAAACCAGGCUGACAGUUUCCACAGUUAGAAAAUCUCCUGGAAAAAGAAGUACCACAUGUUCCUGAUAUAAAGACUCUUCACCAUGAAAUGGAAAUACAUCUCUCUGCUGCUUUCCACAAUUUUAACCUGCCCCUCCUUUGGCUCACUCACUGGGCUUUGCCUGUGUUUUGAAUCCUCUGAUAAUUUUAGUUCACAGUACUGCUUGACUUGGUCAUUUUGUGAGAAAUUAUUGCAGAUGCUAACCUGUGUGAUCCCUGCAAGGGAAGGAGAGCAUCAGCCCUCCUCUUUUCAAGGAUGGUGCAGAUUAUUGUUGAAUUGCAUUGUUGUGCUCUACAUAAGAAGAAUUUAAAAGUAAAUGUUCCUGAAAAUGAGGAUUUGAGAAGAUGGCAAGGGACCAAAGAUAGAUCUCUUCUUUCAAGAAAAAAGUCAGGGGAAGGACUGCUAUGUCUCAUUGCAGCUGCCAGCUAUUUCUAUAGAACAGAAAGGUUACCAAAAAUUUUAGUAUUCUUUACGCACCUUGACUCCCCAAAAAUUUAGAUAUGGAGAAGGAUAUUACAGCAUAAUGAUGACACAUAGUAAUCAUGUGACUAAAACCUCUUAAACAUUUGAUCAUUUUACUGCUUUACAAUAAAUGCCACAUUGUAACAUUGUAUCUAUAAAUCCUCCCUAACACAGAAAUCUUUUGCCUUACUCAGCCUAAAAGAAAUACAUUCUUUCAUGGUUUUAAAUUGAGCUUACAAAACCUGAUGCUUUGAACAUGGAAAAAACCCCAAGGCAUUCUUUCUAGUGGCAACUGAAGGAAAGUUUCACAACAGUGAUGCGCUCUUCAACCUCCCUUCUGGGCAUGAAAAUAUUAUUGAGAAGAUUCAGAAGAGCGCAGUCUAUUCUCUCUACGUUACUACAUUCAGUAUUAUCCUUUAUUUUUUGUGGGUAAAAAUGCCUUCCUUUAGACGGCAUCAAUAAGAAAAAGUUGAUAGCAACCUGAUAUCAAAUGGAAUCCUUAUCUACUGUGGGAAAUGUUCUCAGGUCGUGGAUUACAGUCAAAUUCUGGUCUCACUGAAGUCAGUAAGAUUUUUAUUGUUGAUUUCAUGUGAACUAGUAAAAACUCAAAAUAUGCUUGACAUUUGACAUAACAGGAACUUCAAGGGACCUUCAACAUGAAGCAAACAGAGCUUGGCUUCCAGCUGGACCACUGACCCUGGUGGCCAUAUUCUCAGUUAUAAUUAGGUUCCUUUUUGCUUGUUGGGCAAUAUAAUGGGCCUUUGAAGUCUGUAUUUCCUUCCUGCAUUUCUCUCCAAGGCACUAAAGACUCAUGACUCUGCUCCAACCUGGUCUCUCACAAGAGCCAUUGCCAACGUGUCGCACGCUCUCCUCUGGCUGCCAGCAUCCACCCAGCUGAGGCCCCAGGCUCCUGGAGGUGGCAGCCAAAAGCUGGCUGAGAGCCACUGGCUCUGCAUUCUUGCCACAGAUUCUUUACUCUGCUCUGGGGAUGGGCAAAUAGCCUCUCUCUGCCUCAGCUUCCUGACAGGUUAGAGGAAUACCCUGCCGUGUGCAGGAGGCUGUGGAAAUACAAACUGUGGGGAGUGAGGUGUUCUGCAUCAGCACCUUGGAAGUGGACUCCAGCUUCAGUCACUGACCCUAGACAGCUAUGUAUUCCAUGAAAAAGUCAGAAAAAAACAUCUUCUGGCCCCAGAAAUAGAUUAUAUUGUGCCCCGAAGAGUAUAAACAGAUAAUCUAAUUUUUUCUCAUAUUGCAGAGCACCUAACAACAAAUGCUAGGAAUUUGCUUUGUUUGUUAUCUCUCUGCUCUUGGUUAUUGUCUUGUUAUCUGCUUACCUAUGACCUUAUUAUUCAUGAUUGUAUGGUUUUUUAUCUCAACUGUACUUAAACACCAAAAAAUGUAGUACAUACUUAUUUUCUUGGUGACAAACACUAGAAGCAAAAGUAGCUUUGAAACCUUUGUUGAAAUCUCUUCCAUGUAUAGAUGUGUAUAAAGACAUGUAUAUGACUACAAAUAAUAUAUUUGCACAACUUUGACAAGACAGAAAUAAACAUCUCUGGUCUUUGCAUGGCCCUCAUAUUUUUUAUUCUCAUACAUCUAAAAGUUACAAAUAUGUACAGCUUCUUAUUAAAAUGCAAAUAAGUUUAUAAAUACUAAUACAGUUAGAUAAAUUUAGUUUUAAUAUUGCAAAAACAUA